rnacentral:rRNA from 1 species
UGCUUACACAUGCAGUCGCACGAGAACGCUUCAGCUUGCUGGAGCUAGUAAAGUGGCGCACGGGUGAGUAACGCGUGGGUAAUCUACCUCCGAAUUGGGGAUAACACUGCGAAAGCGGUGCUAAUACCGAAUAACAUCUCAGGGACCUUGGUUUCGGGGAUCAAAGGUGGCCUCUACAUGUAAGCUACUGUUUGGAGAUGAGCCCGCGUACCAUUAGCUAGUUGGUAGGGUAAUGGCCUACCAAGGCUGCGAUGGUUAGCUGGUCUGAGAGGAUGAUCAGCCACACUGGAACCGACACACGGUCCAGACUCCUACGGGAGGCAGCAGUGAGGAAUUUUGCGCAAUGGGGGAAACCCUGACGCAGCAACGCCGCGUGAGUGAUGAAGGCUUUCGGGUCGUAAAGCUCUGUCAAGUGGGAAGAAUCUGCUCUAUGAUAAUACCAUGGGGCACUGACGGUACCACUGAAGGGAGCACCGGCUAACUCCGUGCCAGCAGCCGCGGUAAUACGGGGGGUGCAAGCGUUAUUCGGAAUCAUUGGGCGUAAAGGGCGCGUAGGCGGCCCCUUAAGUCAGAUGUGAAAGCCCUCAGCUUAACUGAGGAAGUGCAUUUGAAACUAAGAGGCUUGAGUAUGGGAGAGGGAAGCGGAAUUCCUGGUGUAGCGGUGAAAUGCGUAGAUAUCAGGAGGAACACCGGUGGCGAAGGCGGCUUCCUGGACCAAUACUGACGCUGAGGCGCGAAGGCGUGGGGAGCAAACAGGAUUAGAUACCCUGGUAGUCCACGCAGUAAACUGUGAACACUAGGUGUAGCGGGUAUUGAC